AAAUGCGUGCCCUCGCUGGCGUUUUAAAUAUUAUCGAGAAGCUUAAUCCCGCAUCGCUCACCGAAUAUUAUUUGUAAGCAUAACAAGUGUGCGGUUGUCUAUUACCGAACAAUCUAGGCUUGUUGAGCCAGACUACAAUGAUGCUUUUUUUUUUACUCCAUCAUUGCGGUGUUUGUUACACUGCGUCUUUAAUCUGUUAAACUCGAUCCUUUGGACAUGUCAGACUGUGGCAGGCUUUUGUUUGCUGCAUAAUGUGAGCUCACAAGGGAGGCCUGUGCGUUCGGAGUUGUGAUGAAGCACGGGAAGGCCUACGCCAUCUCCAGAGGACAAUGGCUGACUCACCAGCAGAAGCAUGCUGGGAUCGGCCCCUGCCAGCGGGCUCUUUGUGCGCCUGAGGCAGAGAUAGCCCGGCUGAACUGUGUCUGGCUUUGACAGACGGCUAUUAUAUUUUUGAUAUCUUGGAUGGGUAGGCCCGGUUUGGGGAGAUGGAGUACCUGAAGGAGCGGUAUAUGCUGAAACACGCCACCCUGAUGGUGUUUCACAGUCACUCUAAUGUUCACUUGUCUCCGUUCUCUUUUCUGCAUGCGAAGGUCACUCCGACCAAAACGAGCAAAGAAGCUAAAGCCAGUCCAGAUGCUUCAAAAGAACAGUCACAGAAAGAAACCCCACCAGCACCAUCAACAAAUGAAGCACCCAAGGCACCCCCUCCUCCUCCACCCCCAGCACC